UUUGGAUACAAAAGACCAAGUGAAAAUGAUACUGGAAAGACUGUUUACUGUUUGACUCCUUUCCCAAUCUAACCUAGUGGGUUCAAAAAGAAAGGACCGCGCUGGAAACAUGAGGAGGUUAAAUAGAUCAGCCCUUUUUGAAUUAAUAAUUGUCGUAGCCAGCUCGUAUGAAAGGAUUUCUCGACUCGAAAUAGCUAAUUUUAUUCAACUACGCCAAGAAACAGAGCUCGCUCAAGAAACAGAGGAGAAAGAGAAAGAUGAAGA